GACGAACGCUGGCGGCGUGCUUAACACAUGCAAGUCGAACGGAAAGGCCCUGCUUUUGUGGGGUGCUCGAGUGGCGAACGGGUGAGUAACACGUGAGUAACCUGCCCUUGACUUUGGGAUAACUUCAGGAAACUGGGGCUAAUACCGGAUAGGAGCUCCUGCUGCAUGGUGGGGGUUGGAAAGUUUCGGCGGUUGGGGAUGGACUCGCGGCUUAUCAGCUUGUUGGUGGGGUAGUGGCUUACCAAGGCUUUGACGGGUAGCCGGCCUGAGAGGGUGACCGGCCACAUUGGGACUGAGAUACGGCCCAGACUCCUACGGGAGGCAGCGGUGGGGAAUAUUGCACAAUGGGAGGAAGCCUGAUGCAGCAACGCCGCGUGCGGGAUGACGGCCUUCGGGUUGUAAACCGCUUUCGCCUGUGACGAAGCGUGAGUGACGGUAAUGGGUAAAGAAGCACCGGCUAACUACGUG
rnacentral:rRNA from 1 species